GUCUACGACCAUACCAUCCUGCAUAUGCCCGAUCUCUUCUGAUCUAGGAAACUAAGCAGGGUCAGGCCUGCUUAGUACUUGGAUGGGAGUCCACCUGGGAAUGCCACGUGCUGUAGGCU
rnacentral:rRNA from 1 species